rnacentral:misc_RNA from 1 species
GUCUUUAUUAUUUCUCAACUAACUCUGUCAAACAAACAAGCGUAAACAUCAAGGCCCCGCGACCUUGUGCUAAUGUUGUGAAAUGCUGCGCACAGUUACGCACGCAGCACUCGCAAAAGAUUUGUAAUGAUCCUUCCGCAGGUUCACCUACGGAAA